GGGGUCGUAGCUUAAUGGCUAAAGCACUGCUAUGGCAUAGCAGGGAGUGUGGGUUCAAAUCCCAUCGACUCCACCA
rnacentral:tRNA from 1 species